rnacentral:rRNA from 1 species
GUGGGGAAUAUUGGACAAUGGGCGAAAGCCUGAUCCAGCCAUGCCGCGUGAGUGAUGAAGGCCUUAGGGUUGUAAAGCUCUUUUGUCCGGGAAGAUAAUGACUGUACCGGAAGAAUAAGCCCCGGCUAACUUCGUGCCAGCAGCCGCGGUAAUACGAAGGGGGCUAGCGUUGCUCGGAAUCACUGGGCGUAAAGGGCGCGUAGGCGGACUUUUAAGUCGGAGGUGAAAGUCCAGGGCUCAACCCUGGAAUUGCCUUCGAUACUGGGAGUCUUGAGUUCGGAAGAGGUUGGUGGAACUGCGAGUGUAGAGGUGAAAUUCGUAGAUAUUCGCAAGAACACCGGUGGCGAAGGCGGCCAACUGGUCCGAAACUGACGCUGAGGCGCGAAAGCGUGGGGAGCAAACAGGAUUAGAAACCCGAGUAGUCC